UAUUACAUAAACAAAUAUUUCAUUUCCAAAGCAUGUUACUUAUGUCAUGUAGCUAUGGUAAGAUACUUCAAUUUUCUAUAAACUGAGUUUAUGAGCCAAGGUUUAAAUAUUAAUGGCCAAGGAUAUUUUUUUCUGUAAUUUCUUCACGAAAAGGGCACAGAUGGUGCUUUUUCACGUGUCAACAGAAUUCUUCCUUCUUAGUGUUUUCAAGUAACCUCAUACUAAGUUACCAGACCAGGAGACAUAUGAAAAACUUGGUAAGUGCAGUAAGUUAGAGUGAAAACGUCAAUCAAAAGCUUUAUUCCAAACCUACUAGUUUGUUUUCUAUUUCAACAUUAAGGAUCAUUUUUUCUGAGUAUGUUUUGAACCUAAACCGAGUUCUGAUCUUGUAUUCCUAGAGCUAAGGUUUAGAGCACUGAAUUUUCAUAUAUCUUAAAACUUAACUCCAACGGUCAUAUUAAAAGAACACAAGAGAUUUCAUCGCUUCUGUUGAGAAUCGUUGAAAUGAGGAAUCUAGAAAUCUGACCCAGGACCCCUUGAGUCUUUAAAACUCUCCCUUCGUGGUAGAAUUUGGUUGUGGAGAUGUUUGCGGGAUCCUUUUGCCAGAGAUGGUGUUGCUGGUCUGUGAUGAUCCCUGCAUUGUUGCAGCAGAAAUUUUCUUUGACUAUUUGGGGUGUGUUUCUGUUUUUUGAGAUGUUUUAGGAAAUGUUCCAAUCACGCUUCCUCACAAAUAUUGUGGAAGGGAUGCACAUUGAUGAAGAUUACUCAAAUAGUGGGGUACCUCACAAGAACUUGGUAUGUAUGGCUAUCUUAAAAAAAAAAACAAAAACAAACAAACAAAAAAAAAACUAAUAAACUAACUUCCUAUUUACUAACUAACUUACUAUUUUCCUUUUAUUUUCACUUCUACAGGAUGCAGCUCCAUUGACUACAGAGAACUCCAUUGACUGAGAAGUAGAAACCUGCAUAUUUCCAAAGCCUGGAGGGAAAGAAGAGGUUUGAUACAAACUACCCUGGUAGCAUGAACUAUUGCUUUUCCAGUUAUUACUGUCUCAUAUGUAGACAUGACUCUAGAAGCUUGAUUUCCAGGCUACAAGUCCUUUUAUGAACACGCUCUGAUCACUCACACAAUGGAAAUAUAUUUAUUUUUCUAUAGAGCUUAAUAUUGGCUCAAAGAAAAAAAAAAAACAGUUUAAUCUUAACAUAAAGAUUUUGAGCAAUCUUAAAUCUUGAAUGAUUCUGUCACGUUCCUUGAUGGGAUGCCUUUGCAGUGACUUACCUCUCCAAGGUACUUGUUUAUUUUUUAUUUUAGUUUAGACCUAUUGGAUCUUGUUCUAUUUUGUAAUUAGUUCAGUAAUCCAUCUUCCCUUGUAGAAAUCUUUACAGACUCCAAUCAACCACUUGUUAGUUUUUAUUCAACAACAUAAAUAAAAUACAUUGUAAAUCCCUUGCAAGAUACAUUAUACAUAGAUAAUUCUUAAAGAUGUGGUUUGUCAAAACUGCUAUUUGCUGUAUAUGCCUGUUAUCGCAUAUUUUUAUAGAACAUGGCUGUAGUUCAAUAUUUAAGUAUAUAAAAAGGUAUAAAAUAUAUAAACAGAAACAAAGGGAAGAAGCUGAAAGGAUACAGAGAUUGUAAUAAUUCUUUAUGCUGUGCGCUGGAAUGUAAAAAAAAAUAAUAAUAAUAAUCUGUGCACACGUCUUGUUGACAUCUGCCAUCACCUCUGUGCUGUAGCAUGUCAGAAAGUGAAAAUAUCCAAGCUGUCAUUCUGUAAAUGAAUGGUAAAAUUACGGGUGUGGCGUUAAUUUGACUAUAGAAGUGAUUCAAGAAGUAGUAUUUGACAGUACUUCUGGAAUAGCUCUUGAAACAACUGCAGAGUCAACCUCAGAAACAGUUUGAGAACCAUUUCUGGAAUUUACUCUAGGCAAACUUCCUGGGUUGGCAUCAGAAGUUAGCUGGGAAACAUUUCCAGAAGCGGCUCUAGAAGUGAUUCUAGCAAGAAGGUUGAGAGUUGAGUCUGGCAGAUAUUGUAGCAGUGUUUUUGAAUCAGUGGGGGAUCCAGGCAUGGUUCUUUAGCUGAAUCCAGAAAUGAGCCUGCAGUUGGCUGUGGGAUUUAUUCUGGAAUCGGUUCUAUUGGUACAGUUCUAGAGCCACUUCCAGAAUUAUUUCUAAUCACUUCUGCUGAAAAGUUGUUUAUUGUGCAUAGAUACAAAUGGUUUGUGUUUGUGUUACAGAACACUGAUAGAAGUAUUUUUCUUGCUGCUGCUGCUAGAAGUCUGUAGGUUGCAAGACAGUUUCAGGAGCAGUGCAUCCUAAUAUGUGUGUUAAUGUCACUUUCUGACUCAAAAACGGAUUUCUAUCCUAUCCUUGAUAGUGACAACCAACAAGAUGAACUUUGUUCAAGUUUUUCACCCCAAGAAUGACAAUGAGCCUCUUCAAGUUUAAUCAGACUGGUGCAUUUAUCAAUGUCUUGGAUUAAACCAUUCCUAAUGCAGGUAAAUAUUUGAAGUUUCAAUUAAAAGAGUACUUUAUUAAAAAAAAAAAUAGCUAAAAUACAAUACGUAGAAUAGAAUGCAAUACAUAACAUAAGCCUCUUCAGCUCUAGAAUCAUAAAAUCAUAACCAGAGAUCAUUUUCACUUCCAUUUCCAGAAAGUGUUUUCUCUUUUCUAGCCUUACAAAACAGGUGUUAAGCUAACAUUAUGCCCUGUAUGUUUAAGAGCAUUCAAAGCAGUGUUUUGCUUCAUCUCCACAAGCUAAUUGCCUAUGACUUUUGAUGUUUAGAGAUGGAACAUUCAUUGCAACCUUCCGUUCAAUGAGCCUGUUCUGGUUCAUGUGAAAAUCAACAUCCUUUUUUGUGUUGCUGCCUGACAGGAUGCUACAAUACUAUUAGCAUUUGCAAAGGGUUUACUCCGUCUAAUAGUGCAACCCCCAGAUCACAGGCUGCUCAGUUUGUGUUUCUCUAUUAUAUGAAAGACACAAAGAAGCUGAAGGCUGGCAAAGGCCUGUCAAAUCUUGUAAUGUAGCAAGCGACCCCAGAGCUUCAUUCUGCUUUAUAUCAUCCCUUGUUCCCCAUCCCACCCUUUCCCUUGAAUGGGCUCUGAGGUAGGUAAAUGAAUUCAGCGGUAUGGUAGGCGGAUGAUUCCUUUCUGACCUCAUUCCUGUACCAUUUGUUUCCAGGCUUGUUGGAGGGAAGGGGACAUAUCGGAACCUUUUGUUUCAAAUAAUUUUCUUGCAGGUUGGGGAGUUAAUGCAGACCUUGUCUGAACUCACCCGAGCGGAAAGUGUUCUGGGUAUGUGUCCUGACAUGCUUGGUCCCUUGGAAUUGCCACAUUAAAGGAGAAAACAGUGAAUUGGAAUUCUUCAGUAUUUGGCAUUGCUUAAACACCUGGACACCUUUUUUUUUUCUUUUUUUUUUUUUCUUUUUCCCAAUGCAUGUGUUUAUAUCCUGUUUUAUGCCUUGAAACUUCUGUCUUAAGAUCACACAAGAAGAAAAGAACAAGCUUUGAACAGCCCAGUGUUAACUUGUUUGAGUCGGGAAGAAGAUGAGGCUGAGAUACAAGCUGAGUAAAGCAUACACUAGACAGUGGUUUGCAACGGGGCAUUUCAGACCAGUGUCUGAAAUUGGCAAGGUAGUUCUUAGGUUUGAACAGUCAUGUUGGUUUGUUUAGGGAUUGUGUGUUUCAUGGUAAGGAAAGCAAUGGUUUCCCACGUAGUAGGAUUGAAUUUGAGAAGCAGUGAAUCUUCUAAUGCCAGAUUUGCCAGCACUGUGCAUCCUUAAAGAUACUUUUGUGGAAGGAAGAAUAAAGGAAAGUCACCACCAAGAAAACAUGAGGUGGGAAUAUCGUCAUAGCUGUCCUGCAUAGUUGGGAGUUUGCCCUCUGCACAGGCAUUACUUAUGAUGUUUGGAAGGUCUUUUUUGCCUCUGAAGUAACAGAUUAUGAAGAUGUUAAGUAUAACACAGAAAUGUUAACACCCUUAAGUCUUAAGUGUAUGUAGUAGUAAGUUUACAGUAUCUGAAGUGUGAAAUCAUGAUUAAACCACAAUAGGAAACUAUUAACAUUAUUUUACACUCAGUAUUCUUGGAAGUAUUUUGCUGAAGAGAAAUGUUCUGGAUAAUUUCAACUGCCACAGCAGCAUAUAUCUGUGGGAGGAAAAUGGGAGAUGCACAACCACCUCCAUCUAUCUAGUCUUGUAGAAAUGUUUUGAGAGACCUGCUUAUGAUCUGAGCUCAUCGCUUUAUAUUGCACAUAUGCUUUACAGAAAGCUCCUACAAGCCAAAUGAGACACUGGAACAAAUCUGCUAGAACUUCAGCUAGUCUAGUCUUGCAGUUGAUAUGAAAAAUACAGACAUAAAGGGAAUGAAAAAGGAUGGUCGUAUUCCAGGUAAGGGUGUUGCCUUAAAACCAUAGAUGUAUUAAUGAUUUUAUGUUGAUGUUCUGUAGCUUGAGUGUACAGACAGAAGGGAUGUUUAUCAUGUUGAUUCCUGUGCAUAUUAACAGAUGUUCUGCAUCGUCCUGUAGAACUUCAUGAUAAUGACAUUUUAUGAUACAAAUAGUGUUACUCUUGAAAUCAAAAUUCCACAUCCUGCACAGAUUCAGGGCAUUCCCUAAACAAACUCUUUGUUCAUGCUUCAUUUGUGACUCCUCUGUGACAUGUUUAUGUAUCUCAGGUGGGAGAGGAGCUUAUCUAACAGUUGUAAUCUCAAACCCACCUAACCUGAAAGUUAUUUGCAUGUGCAAAUUAUCUUUGUAGUUUAGGACUAAUUACAGACUAAUUAUAUCAGCCAAAUAGGAUAGCAUCCCUGCCCCCUCCCCCCAAUUGCUAAAGGAGUUUGUACUUUCACAGGGCUCCAGUGCUGAUGGUACAUAGUUUUAUGCAAGUCCUUGUCUACUUUCUCACUAGCAAGGCCAGCAUGAAUAUUGGCUGUAUAAAGCCCUUAAAAUCAAAAAAUGAUCUUCCACCAGUAACAAGGAAGGCCAUCACUUCUGUUCUUAUCAUGUAAUACCUCUGCUCUAACCAGUGGAAAAAAAGUCUGAUUUUUGUCUUGACUUUUAUAUGGCAGCUCUGAUCAACUGGAUCUUUUUUGCAAGGAAGCUUUUUUAAGCUAUUAGAUGUUUGUUUCACUUGCUGCCACUGGAUACUAUUUCCCUAAGGAAAAUAAGAGCAUCCCAUUUAAAAAAAAAAAAAAAAAAAACUUUUUAACCUCCUGUCAGUUUAUGCAUGGUCCACCAUUCAGCUGGAGAAGAUAGCAUUUCCCAUUUCAGUAAAAGAAAAUAAUUUUCCAUUGCCCGUUGCCUGAAAAUUAGAAUUCAACAAGGCUUAUGGAAGUGCAGCUAGCAAUAGGUUGGUUAUCUUAUGAAAGUUUAUCUCAGUACACUGCUUUGUUACAGGUUUUUACUCAUCCUGUUUGCUUUUCCUGCCUGCACAACUUUCUUCUCAUCUGUCCUAUUGGCAUGUAAAUUACUCCCACACCAGGUGACAUCCUCUGCCCUGCGAUGUGUUGAAGGUCAGAUUAGAUUUUCACAGUAGAGCCACCUGGCUUGAAAAACGUAUACAGUGUAAUUCAUGCUACUGCUCACAUCCCUUUUUUGUUUAGUUUCUGGUAUCUUGGUUUUAGCUACAAGUGUGUAGCACAUUCUUUGUGAAUAUACCUAUACCUCAAUUUAUAUGCUAUGUAUGCAAUGAAAAGAAACAUGCUACAUCAGAAAUUCUAACUUUCUGCCUGGUCAGGCAGAACAGAACAUAACCCAGAACAGAAUUUAUAUAACUGUAUAAUCCAGUCUGAAAGACAAAUGCUAUUAAUAAAGAGUAGCAGAGAAGAAGCAUUGGGGACGGGUUGGUGGCAAGAGGCUGUUUUCAUGUGGAAACAAGGGAAUGUUAUACCACUUGCUGAAGCCUAAAACAACUCCCAGAUCCUCACUGAAACUGAGCUUUGUGAUGAAAAGACUUGUAGCCUGUUGGGCCAAGAGAUGGGGAUUAUAAGAAUAUUCAUGACUCCUGAGAAUCAGCAGGUGAGACCUAAUGCACACAUUUGCCCCUUACCCCUUCCCCAGUUCAGCCUUUUGGUAAACAGUACAUAAAGGCUGGGUUCCCAGAGUGGCUGAACUAAGUUCCUGAUUUUUUUUUUUUAUUUUAUUUUUUAAAUGAAGAAUAGAGGAAAAGGGAGGCAGGGGGGUGAAGAAGAUUGCAGUGGUUUUGCCACUUGUCCCGAGCAGAAGCACGGACUCUCCCUUUCAUUUGUAAAGAGUAACUGUGUGGCCAAACCAGAAGUCUUGUGACAUUACUUAAGAAAGCAGAAUGGUAUCUUAGCAUCCAAGGCCUCAUUUAAAACAUAAAGAAAAGCCUGCCUUAGAGCUUGGAUAAGCUGGAGAGGAAUCUCUGUGACAUAUGUGCAUUGUCUUAGGAAAGCAUGGGAUGAAGCCAACUGGUGGGACACAGCCUUAAUACACUAGGGAUUUGUCAUGCCUGUUUUAGGGUAUUUACUAGCCAGUAACACCCAGCAUGUAGAGUCCAGGCAGUGACAGUAUGUGAUGCAGCACACUGCUACAGGAGAGUGAGUGGCAGGGGAUACUGUAUGGGGCACUGAUUCCUUGGGCAAGGUGGGCAAAGUAUUCUUACUGCAUCUCCCAAGUGAAACACAAAUACGCUGUCAAUAGUAGUUCUCACAAAUUAAGACUUCGCAAAAUUGUCUCACUCAUUCCCUGUGGUGUGGGCUAAGAGGGAUUCUCAUGGAUGCUGAUGUUGUCCUAAUUCUGACAGACUUCACCUGCAGGCACGAAGUAGCACGCUCAGUGUAGCAGGGGGAGGGAUGGCUGUCAGCUCUUUAGAUGAAGCCUGGGUGUUGUCAGCUCUCUGAGGCCUGAAUCAGUGCUUGCACUGAACAGAGAAGAACAUGCUUCAUUUUGUUUUAAUUCUCUGUUGUUUCCUGUCUUUUCUUUGCAAAACUGGGUCUGUACUGUUUACUCUGUCCUGUGAUCUAGCACAACCCCAUUCUAGUAACUUUUCAUUCUCCUACCCAUGGAUUGCAGCAGCAGGUAAGUGACAAAGUGAUAUGACAGCGGGAGGUGUCCUGAUGAAUGCAAGGGAGGGACAUUUAGGCUGCUUUCAGUCUAGGACCUGUGGCACUUAGGAAGGACUGGGCACAGCUGGAGUACUAAUCCUGCAUAUAUCUGCCUCUGGAGUAAAGCAAGUGCAAGCAUUUUCCAGGUUCUUUAGGUUUCCUGGAAGGGACACUCAGGUGAAGCCUUUUGGCUGUACUGAGACACAGAUGACUGAACAAAAGUUUGUUUUGGUACAAAUCUACCACUGUGCCAACAUCUGAUGUAGCCUGAAGCUUUCAGAACAUGUCAAUGAAGCUGCAUUAAGGUGAAGGGAACGUUUUUGUAAGGUUUUCAGCCUUUCUGGGAAGGCUUCUUUACAGUGUUUAAAUCCCCCUUGAAAUUUCAGUCUGCAAGAGCAAUAGUGCCUGCCUCUGAUAAAAUUGUUGUUAAAUUUAGUUUGGAAGUGUCUAAGCCUUGGAUCCUUGUUUGUUGUAUCCUAGUGACAACAUCAGAACAAGAUUUCAACAGUGUUGAUGUUAAUCUGAAUAUAACUCAAUAGCACUGGCUUUUGUGGUUGGAUUUGAGUCUUCAGCAGUUGAAACUGAAUUGCUGCCUGCUCAAUAUAGUUUUUCUAGUAACUGAUGCAUCUAGGUCAACAAAUUGACAGGCAUUGCUCAUUUUACUGCUUGGCAAAUAUUGAACUAAAGUCUUCAGCACUGUAACACUGUUGACAAUUGCAGGAUAAUGGCAUUGUCCUCUUUUGUUACCGUGAAGUGCAUCUUUGCAUCUGAUUCUGGCACAUAGCACACUCUGUAAACAACAAGGGAUGUUGUGAUCUGGAGUCGCAAGUGUUUGCUCUGACAAUAUAAACUUAGUGCCUGCUCUCUGAAACCAAACAGUCUGUGUCUGCCAUGGUUACUUCAAAGUUGUAAUGAAACAAGCCACUCUCUUCCUGAAAACAUUGGAGGGCAGUGGCCAAGCUGUUGUUGAAGUUUUCUGUUUGGAAUGCUCUCCUUACCGCACUCCUUUAUUACAUUGCAGGUCUACGUUGAGGAGUCCAGACUAAGCUACAAGAACCUGAAAGUGGAGAAAAAUACUUGUCAGGAAAAAAAAAAAAAAGAAGAAAAAAACAAUAGUACUGACUUAGUACUUAACGUUGGUCUAUCUGGUGGUAAAGACCAGAAUGUGCCACUGUGAUCAUUUGCACCAAGCUUCCAGCUUCUGUCUGGGGUAAGAGACCUGCAAGAAAGAAUCAUUGAGGACUGAUUUAACAACUCUCCGUGAUGGAUCUUGUCAACAGCUGCACGGUGUGUUGGAGGGGGUCUUGCUGGCCUGUGACCUUGCCUUUAUCUGUCGGUCUGUCACCACUGGUCUUCAAAGUGCAGCUUAAAGGAUCUGAGGCUUCUGUGUGGCCUUGAUGUGAUCUGCUU